rnacentral:lncRNA from 1 species
GUUUGGUUCGGGGUUAAGAAAAAAGUAGCUAUUCCAGGGAUAGGGUUAAGUUUAGGGUUAAAGUGGGGUUAAAGUUUUUUUGUGUUUGGUUGGGGGUUGGAGUUAAUCUAGAAUAAUGAAAAAUAGUGUUUGGUUGGAGUAGGUGGGAUAAGAAGAUAAUGAUUGAUAAAGAAGGAUAAUGAUUGGUUGGAGUAGGUGGGGUUGGAGUAGGUGGGAUAAGAAGAUAAUGAUUGAUAAAGAAGGAUAAUGAUUGGUUUGAGUUGAUGGGAUAAGAAGAUAAUGAUUGAUAAAAAAGGAUAAUGAUUGGUUGGAGUAGGUGGGAUAAGAAGAUAAUAAUUGAUAAAGAAGGAUAAUNUAUAUAUAUAUAUAUAUAUAGUCCGGCUACUAUACUCUUAUGAGUACGAUCGCCCUCGUACUCAUAAGUUGUUUUCGAUGAUAAAGCUUCCGAAUCACCGAUCCAUACCGUUAAACAAUAUCUAGAUCAUUUAAAACUUCUAGGAAUUAAAUUUUAUAAUUUUUCGAUAUCAUUUACCUUACGAUCAAAAUGUCACAAAAUCGACAAUUUUUAACGACCGGUACGAGAUAUUUGCUAGUUUAACGGUGAAAAAGAAUCGAAAUAGGUUGAAUUUUUGAUAAAAAAUUCUAUUCACUACCUAAAUAAAGAUCAAUAACACCGAUCUUAAAUUUAAGGAUCUGAUCAUCCAUUUUUAGGAUGUCAUUCGAUUUUAACCGUCCAUUUUAUACUCGCUUGAUGGAUUUUAUAAUGAUUUCGAAAAUUUAUAAAAUUUAUUUCUAUAAAUUUCAAAUACUCUAGAUCAUAUUUAACGGUGUGGAUCAUCGAUUUGAAAACUCCACCAUCGAAAACAACUUAUGAGUAGUAAGGGUUCUAUACUCAUAAGAGUAUAGUAGCCCUACUCUAUAUAUAUAUAAAUUUAUAUAUAGUCCGGCUACUAUACUCUUAUGAGUACGAUCGCCUUCGUACUUAUAAGUUGUUUUCGAUGAUAAAGCUUUUGAAUCGACGAUCCAUACCGUUAAACAUUGUUUAUAGCAUUUAAAAAUCUUAGAAAUCAAAUUUUAUAAUUUUUUGAUACAAUUUACCUUACAAUCAAAAGCUCACAAAAUUGACAAUUUUUAACGGCCGGUAUAAGAUAUUUGCUAGUGUAACGGUGUAAAAGAAUAUGAAUCGGUUGAAUUUUUGAUAGAAAAUUCUAUUCACUAUCUAAAUAAAUAUCAAUAACUCCGAUCUUAAAUUGAAGAAUCCGAUCAUCCAUUUUUAGGAUGUCGUUUAAUUUUGACCAUUCAUUUUAUACCUGCUUGAUGGAUUUUAUAAUAAUUUUGAAAAAUUACGAAAUUUAUUUUCUAAAAGUUUCAAAUACUCUAGAUCAUAUUUAACGGUGUGGAUCGUCGAUUCGAAAGCCCCAACAUCGAAAACAACUUGUGAGUACGAAGAACUUUAUAUUCNGGUUGGAGUAGGUGGGAUAAGAAGAUAAUGAUUGAUAAAGAAGGAUAAUGAUUGGUUUGAGUUGAUGGGAUAAGAAGAUAAUGAUUGAUAAAAAAGGAUAAUGAUUGGUUGGAGUAGGUGGGAUAAGAAGAUAAUAAUUGAUAAAGAAGGAUAAUGAGGAUUAAAAUAAUUAUGAGGAUUAAAAUUAUAUAAUUUUUUGCGUAAUUGUAUACCAAAAUUUUUUUUUCACUACUCUUUUGUAAUUUUGAAAUAUUCCUCAAAUUUUCAAACAACAAUAUUAAACUUGUCAUAUUUAUAAAUUUCACUCUCAAUAGUAUUUCCUGAACUACAAUUAAUAUUUUAAUUAUAAUAUCAUUUUAACCCUCCAAAAAUACUAAUUGCGA